GACGAACGCUGGCGGCGUGCUUAACACAUGCAAGUCGAACGGUGAAGGGGCCUGCUUUUGUGGGCCCUGGAUGAGUGGCGAACGGGUGAGUAACACGUGAGUAACCUGCCCCCUUCUUCUGGAUAACCGCAUGAAAGUGUGGCUAAUACGGGAUAUUCUGGGUCUGUCGCAUGAUGGGUCUGGGAAAGAUUGCGCCUUUGGGGGGUUUUGGUGGGGGAUGGGCUCGCGGCCUAUCAGCUUGUUGGUGGGGUGAUGGCCUACCAAGGCGGUGACGGGUAGCCGGCCUGAGAGGGUGGACGGUCACACUGGGACUGAGACACGGCCCAGACUCCUACGGGAGGCAGCAGUGGGGAAUAUUGCACAAGGGGCGCAAGCCUGAUGCAGCGACGCCGCGUGAGGGAUGGAGGCCUUCGGGUUGUAAACCUCUUUCGCCAGUGAAGCAGGCCUGCUCCUUGUGGGUGGGUUGACGGUAGCUGGAUAAGAAGCGCCGGCUAACUACGUG
rnacentral:rRNA from 1 species